CCGGGGCCGAUUCAGCGCUCGGCCGCCCUCAGCGCCCAGGUACCGGGUCCCGGGCACCCCCCGCCGGGAAUGCACUGCCUGCGGCGGGCCGCGCCGAUCCUAUCCGCCCCGCCGCUGGCCGCAGGGCUCCCUCCCCGGCCGCGCUGGCUCCCCGCCUCCCCGAGCCCCAGCCUCACCCGGCUGUCAUCACCACAUUGUAGAUGACCAGGUACGCCGUGGCCAGGGGCCCCGGGCCCUUCUUCUUCCGCGUGCCGCUGGCGUCCCCGGCCCCGGCCCUGCCACCGCCGCCCCCAUUCCCCUUCGCUGCUGCAGUCGCCGCCACUGCCGCCAUGUCAAGUGCCCGAAGCCCGCUCUCCUAGCGCGAGCGGCUCGGGCCGGACUACGCGAGGAGAGGGGGCGGAGGAAGGGACGAGGGGCAGGCGGGGCCAGGGCCGCGGGGCGGAGCCGGGACAGGGUCCACGGCAGCCGCCAUCUUGGCUGAGGGCAAAGACGCUCCUGGCGCUCCCGUCUUUCGGCUUGCCUCAGUUGCCACUGCCAUCUUGGAUCAGGGUAAUUCCCGCCUCUUGGGCGCUCCCGGUUACAACCUCGGCGCCAUCUUGGAUUAGUUCAAUGUAGCCACCCUCUCCAGGCCCGCUGCUUCUGCCAGCUGGAUGUUGCGUCGUCCCUCGCUAUUCGCCCUCCUAUAAUCACUGCUUCCAUGUUGAAUCAAAACAAUUAUGCUUUCGUUCUCCCUUCUUCAAUUGCCCUAUCUUCACACCUGAACACUAUUGCUCCGGUAUCCUGCCAUUUUGGAUCAGGGCGGUUGACGGUGGAUUCACUUCCCAUCAGCCCUUGAGGCUGCAGGGACCAGCCCUUUGUACAGUGGAGAAGCCCAGGCGGCCUAGAAUCCAGUGUCGUCCGUGAGUGCUUGGCUGGUGUUCAAGUGCAUCUUCCAGCCUGAGACCGCGUGGACUCGCUCAUCGUGAGGGCGAGAGGAGGAUAAGCCCAUUGGGCUGUCGGCUGAGAGUGAGACCAUCCACAAUAUUGUUUGAACAUCUGAAGACAUGGGGAACUUGCCAUCUGAUAUCUGAUAACAGACUUCCUGUAAAGCAGGACUGGUAGUUUCCUGAUAACAAAUUCUUCAAUAUGAAGGAUAUAGCUGUGUCCUUUACAACUGGUAGCAUGGAAAGAAAGAGAAGUCUGCAAAGAUUGAACAAACAGCAUGCACUGUGGUAUCCUUUAUUUAAAAAUUGUGAGCUGACUACAGUUGUAGUGUUCUCAUUUACCAUUCUGAUGGCAUAAUAAACCAAGAGAACAUUAACACAAUUCCAAGAAGGCAUUAACCUGUAACACACAUAUACGCCACACAUGCACACACACAACAUACACGCACACAAAGGUUAUAUUCUGAACACAAAAGUGAUAGAAAAAAGCUUUGAAUGCGCUAAAUCAAAUAAAAACCCUUUAUUAUAAUAAACUGUGGCAAUACUGUGGCUAUCAUGAAAAAUAUUGUAACUAUUUUAAAAGCAAAAGGAAAAAUACUGGCAGUUUGAAACUAGCAGCAAAAAGC
rnacentral:lncRNA from 1 species